rnacentral:rRNA from 1 species
UACGGGGGGGGCAAGCGUUGUUCGGAAUUACUGGGCGUAAAGGGCUCGUAGGCGGCCAACUAAGUCAGACGUGAAAUCCCUCGGCUUAACCGGGGGAACUGCGUCUGAUACUGGAUGGCUAGAGGUUGGGAGAGGGAUGCGGAAUUCCGAGGUGUAGCGGUGAAAUGCGUAGAUAUCUGGAGGAACACCGGUGGCGAAGGCGGCAUCCUGGACCAAUUCUGGACGCUGAGGAGCGAAAGCCAGGGGAGCAACGGGG